rnacentral:rRNA from 1 species
UACGUAGGGCGCAAGCGUUGUCCGGAAUUAUUGGGCGUAAAGAGCUCGUAGGCGGUCUGUCGCGUCUGUUGUGAAAACUCGAGGCUCAACCUCGGGCUUGCAGUGGAUACGGGCAGACUAGAGUGCGGUAGGGGAGACUGGAAUUCCUGGUGUAGCGGUGAAAUGCGCAGAUAUCAGGAAGAACACCCGUGGCGAAGGCGGCUCUCUGGGACGGUACUGACGCUGAGACGCGAAAGCGUGGGGAGCGAACAGG